AGCGAACGCUGGCGGCAGGCCUAACACAUGCAAGUCGAACGGAUCCUUCGGGAUUAGUGGCGGACGGGUGAGUAACACGUGGGAACGUGCCCUUUGGUUCUGAACAACUCAGGGAAACUUGAGCUAAUACCGGAUGUGCCCUUCGGGGGAAAGAUUUAUCGCCAUUGGAGCGGCCCGCGUCUGAUUAGCUAGUUGGUGAGGUAAAGGCUCACCAAGGGGACGAUCAGUAGCUGGUCUGAGAGGAUGAUAAGCCAAAUUGGGACUGAGACACGGCCCAAACUCCUACGGGAGGCAGCAGUGGGGAAUCUUGCGCAAUGGGCGAAAGCCUGACGCAGCCAUGCCGCGUGAAUGAUGAAGGUCUUAGGAUUGUAAAAUUCUUUCACCGGGGACGAUAAUGACGGUACCCGGAGAAGAAGCCCCGGCUAACUUCGUGCCAGCCGCCGCUGUAAGAC
rnacentral:rRNA from 1 species